GACGGAGGGUGCUAGCGUUGUUCGGAAUUACUGGGCGUAAAGGGCGCGUAGGCGGCUUGUUAAGUCGGGUGUGAAAGCCCGGGGCUCAACCCCGGAACGGCACCCGAGACUGGCGGGCUUGAGACCGAGAGAGGAGAGUGGAAUACCCAGUGUAGAGGUGAAAUUCGUAGAUAUUGGGUGGAACACCAGUGGCGAAAGCGGCUCUCUGGCUCGGUUCUGACGCUGAGGCGCGAAAGCGUGGGGAGCAAACAGG
rnacentral:rRNA from 1 species